GCAUAACGCGAAGAACCUUACCAGGCCUUGACAUGCAGAGAACUUUCCAGAGAUGGAUUGGUGCCUUCGGGAACUCUGACACAGGUGCUGCAUGGCUGUCGUCAGCUCGUGUCGUGAGAUGUUGGGUUAAGUCCCGUAACGAGCGCAACCCUGUCCUAGUUACCAGCACGUUAUGGUGGGCACUCUAAGGAGACUGCCGGUGACAAACCGGAGGAAGGUGGGAUGGACGUCAAGGUCAUCAUGGCCCUUACGGCCUGGGCUACACACGUGCUACAAUGGUCGGUACAGAGGUUGCCAAGCCGCGAGGUGGAGCUAAUCUCACAAAACCGAUCGUAGUCCGGAUCGCAGUCUGCAACUCGACUGCGUGAAGUCGGAAUCGCUAGUAAUCGCGAAUCA
rnacentral:rRNA from 1 species